AACGAACGCUGGCGGCAGGCCUAACACAUGCAAGUCGAACGCCGUAGCAAUACGGAGUGGCAGACGGGUGAGUAACACGUGGGAACGUACCUUUCGGUUCGGAAUAACUCAGGGAAACUUGAGCUAAUACCGGAUACGUGCGAGAGCAGAAAGAUUUAUCGCCGAAAGAUCGGCCCGCGUCCGAUUAGCUAGUUGGUGAGGUAAUGGCUCACCAAGGCGACGAUCGGUAGCUGGUCUGAGAGGAUGAUCAGCCACACUGGGACUGAGACACGGCCCAGACUCCUACGGGAGGCAGCAGUGGGGAAUAUUGGACAAUGGGCGCAAGCCUGAUCCAGCCAUGCCGCGUGAGUGAUGAAGGCCCUAGGGUUGUAAAGCUCUUUGUCCGGAAGAUAAUGACUGUACCGGAAGAAUAAGCCCCGGCUAACUUCGUGCCAGCAGCC
rnacentral:rRNA from 1 species